GAGUUUGGAUCAUGGCUCAGGACGAACGCUGGCGGCGCGCCUAACACAUGCAAGUCGAACGAGCGAGAGAGAGCUUGCUUUCUCGAGCGAGUGGCGAACGGGUGAGUAACGCGUGAGGAACCUGCCUCAAAGAGGGGGACAACAGUUGGAAACGACUGCUAAUACCGCAUAAGCCCACGGCUCGGCAUCGAGCAGAGGGAAAAGGAGCAAUCCGCUUUGAGAUGGCCUCGCGUCCGA
rnacentral:rRNA from 1 species